rnacentral:rRNA from 1 species
GACGAACGCUGGCGGCGUGCUUAACACAUGCAAGUCGAACGGAAAGGCCCUGCUUUUGUGGGGUGCUCGAGUGGCGAACGGGUGAGUAACACGUGAGUAACCUGCCCUUGACUUUGGGAUAACUUCAGGAAACUGGGGCUAAUACCGGAUAGGAGCUCCUGCUGCAUGGUGGGGGUUGGAAAGUUUCGGCGGUUGGGGAUGGACUCGCGGCUUAUCGGCUUGUUGGUGGGGUAGUGGCUUACCAAGGCUUUGACGGGUAGCCGGCCUGAGAGGGUGACCGGCCACAUUGGGACUGAGAUACGGACCAGACUCCUACGGGAGGCAGCAGUGGGGAAUAUUGCACAGUGGGCGGAAGCCUGAUGCAGCAACGCCGCGUGCGGGAUGACGGCCUUCGGGUUGUAAACCGCUUUCGCAUGUGACGAAGCGUGAGUGACGGUAAUGGGUAAAGAAGCACCGGCUAACUACGUG